rnacentral:rRNA from 1 species
CAGCCGCCGCGGUAAUACGUAGGUGGCAAGCGUUGUCCGGAAUUAUUGGGCGUAAAGCGCGCGCAGGCGGUUUCUUAAGUCUGAUGUGAAAGCCCCCGGCUUAACCGGGGAGGGUCAUUGGAAGCUGGGAGACUUAGAGUGCAGAAGAGGAGAGUGGAAUUCCACGUGUAGCGGUGAAAUGCGUAGAGAUGUGGAGGAACACCAGUGGCGAAGGCGACUCUCUGGUCUGUAACUGACGCUGAGGAGCGAAAGCGUGGGGAGCGAACAGGAUUAGAUACCCCCGUAGUCCCUGUCUCUUAUA